rnacentral:rRNA from 1 species
CUACGGGGUGCUCCAGUGAGGAAUAUUGGUCAAUGGGCGCGAGCCUGAACCAGCCAUCCCGCGUGCAGGAUGACGGCCCUAUGGGUUGUAAACUGCUUUUCUACGCCAAGAAACCCUGUUACGAGUAACAGGUUGCCGGUAGCAUAGGAAUAAGCAUCGGCUACUCCGUGCCAGCAGCCGCGGUAAUACGGAGGAUGCAAGCGUUAUCCGGAUUCAUUGGGUUUAAAGGGUGCGCAGGUGGGCUUGUAAGUCAGUGGUGAAAUGCUGCCGCUUAACGGUAGAACUGCCAUUGAUACUGCGAGUCUUGAGUAUGGUUGAGGUAGGCGGAAUGUGUUGUGUAGCGGUGAAAUGCAUAGAUAUGACACAGAACGCCAAUUGCGAAGGCAGCUUACUAAGCCAUUACUGACGCUGAGGCACGAAAGCGUGGGGAGCGAACAGGAUUAGAUACCCCAGUAGUC